CAGAGGAUCCAAGGCAGGCUCUGCGCUGACAGCAAAGAGUCAGAUGCAGGGCUUGAACUCACAAACUGAACCCUGAGAUCAUGACCUGAGCUGGACACUUCAAACCCGACAGCCACCCCGGUCCGGUGCCCCAAGAAAACAGGAUUCAAAACAAAACAAAACAAAACCUACUUAUAAAAAGCAGAAGCUAUUGGAUCACUUUAUUCUUUUUGUUAGGUGUUCUAUAAUUUUUCUACCAUGAUCAUGGAUUACCUUUGAAUUAAAUGUGCGUAAUUAAAAGGGAUGGAAUAGAGCUGAUGUGAGGGGAAAAUGCUGAGCUCGGCAACUUUCGGGGACUCCUCUGCACCUCUUGUGGAUGCUUCACACGCUGUUACCUCAGGUUUCUGUCUCAACAAGCCUGGAAUGGAAGCAGUGGGACUCCCCCUACUCGACUGCAAAGACUGAGUUCCCAGAGCCGCCAAAGGCCUUGCCAUCACGAGGCCAAGGCCCCGGUGAUGCGCCAGGAGCGGGCAUUCAAAUGCACAGCACUUUUAUCAAGGUCAGACUUCCAACUCUGGGAAAAGCAGAACCUUCUUCCUUUCCUGCAACCUGACCACAGAGCCUCUGAGAAAAGCCUUCCCCAUCCGAGCAACACUCUGGGAACCUGCUUCCUCCACCUCAGGUCAGGUUCAUUUAUUAUUAAAGAACAGUCUUGUGUCCGGCCAAAGGUUUCUGUGUGUGAACUUAAUUUUUUUUUAAGUUCAUUCAUUUAUUUUUGAGAGAGAGAGAGCAGAGGAGGAGGAGGACAGAGAGAGGAGAGAGAGAGGUGCUCCAGAAACAAAUAUUUUAAAAGUGUCCGCCUGUUUGUUGCUCAAGAGUUCCAACCUGGCCACAGUAAGGAAGUGAUACAGUGGAGCAGAGGAUCGGGGGACCGCCUCAAAGCUGGCAGGGACACAAACCACCGCCUGAAUCUGACCUGCACUGACUCCUGGAGCCGUGGACUGUUUGCUCUCUGUCUGAGGCUUUAUCUGCCAGGGAGAUGGGCAAGCGGCCAGGGCCCUCUCGGGUGAGGGGUUGAACAGCCAGGCGGUGGCACGCUGCCAUACCAGAUGUCAUGGCUGGUCACUCAGAGGAGCUCUGGGCCAGGAGUCAGGAGGCCGAGGGCCGGGAGAUGGCUCCAGCUGGGCUCCAUGCAUCUGAGCGACUCUCUCCCCCACAACCCUUCACUUCAGGCCCUCCAAGUGUGGAGUAAAGGGCUGGGCAGCAGAAGGAUUUCUCAUCCGUGCUGCACGAGUCUCGCAGACAUUUGUGUUUAAAGUAUAUACACAUAGGUCGAACGAUUUUCUUAAAGUAUUUUGUU